UUCCACGCCAUAAAGAACUCAUGCUAAUCUUCAUUAGCAUGUGAGUAGUGGCAUGAUAGAAGAGAGAGUCCCAUUCAAAUGGGACUCCUUAUGACCCAAUCCUAUUUGACUUGGUUUUGGUUCAAAACCAAAUCCAAAUUGAUUCCAAUCGCAAUCCAAUUAGGAACUAAGUCCAAAUCACAUUUUGACUUGAAUCAAACCUAAUUAAAUCUGAUUUAAUUUGACUAGGAUCAAGAUUCAAUUUAUUUGAUC
rnacentral:lncRNA from 1 species